AUGGAGGCGAUGCAGUGGAUGGAGACGGCCGCGGAAGACGGCCAGGGCGCGGCGGACAUGUCAGGCCUUGGCGUGGCUGUGGAUCCAGCGCUGGUGACUGAUGGCGACGGCGAGGCUACGGCGGGCUUGGGCCAGGGCGCGGCUGCGGCUGUGGAGGGGGCGGGUGAGUGCGCGGCUGACGGUGGCAAUGGCGCAGCUUCUGCAGGUGGCGGUGGGUCGGUUGCAGCGGGAUCAGGCCAGGGCGCAGCAGUGACUGGGGGCUCGGCCGCCGGGGUGGCUGGAGACUCCGGCCAGGGCACUGCUGGGUCGGCCUCGGCAGCACGGCUCGGUUGGCACUCCAACAGUGAUGAAUCCUGGAAAGUGUGCCUAUGCUUGGUUGUAAUCUCUCAGGUGGCCAUAUCAUUUUUAGUCCUGCUUGCUGUUCUGUGCAGCUGGAGAACUCCAAGUUCCCAAAUGCCAAAAUAUUCUAACGCUGGAAUUAGAAAUACGGACAACACAUGUUCUUGGUGCUGCUCAUGUCAUGUUGGGUGGACUUGCACUCAUGUAUGUGAUUCUAAAGUCACUUUUGUGCUACUCAUGGCAUGUAUGUAUGGACUUGGAUUAUGUAUGUGA
rnacentral:rRNA from 1 species